GAUAAACGCUGGCGGCGCACAUAAGACAUGCAAGUUGAACGGACUUAAUCGAAAUAUUUAUAUUUUGAAGCGGUUAGUGGCGGACUGGUGAGUAACGCGUAAGGAACCUGCCUAUUAGAGGGGAAUAACAGUGAGAAAUCAUUGCUAAUACCGCAUAUGCCAUAGAUAUCACAUGAUAACAGAGGGAAAGGAGCAAUCCGCUAAUAGAUGGCCUUGCGUCUGAUUAGAUAGUUGGUGGGGUAACGGCCUACCAAGUCGACGAUCAGUAGCCGGACUGAGAGGUUGAACGGCCACAUUGGGACUGAGAUACGGCCCAGACUCCUACGGGAGGCAGCAGUCGGGAAUAUUGCGCAAUGGAGGAAACUCUGACGCAGUGACGCCGCGUAUAGGAAGAAGGUUUUCGGAUUGUAAACUAUUGUCGUUAGGGAAGAGAAAGGACAGUACCUAAGGAGGAAGCUCCGGCUAACUACGUG
rnacentral:rRNA from 1 species